UCUCAGUUUGAUUAAUGAAACCACACUCUUUGAUAAGUGGGCUUGUGCGAAAAACAUUAUCAUUCGUCGCAUCACUGAACAGAACAUGAACAAGACGGCUGUGUCUGAGACAUGGACAGAUGUUUUAUGUGAGCUGGAGAGCAAGACCAUCAACUUAGCGUCUUAGCCAAGGUUAUGGAGUUUGUUUUAUGCAUGCCUGGGACAUCUGCAUCUGUGGAGCAUUUGUUCUCAUUAAUGAACGGAGCGUGGACACCGGAUAAAUCUCGACUCAGUGUAACAGUCAUGAAGGCAAUGCUUUUCGUACUUCUUAAUUUUGGACUGGAGUGCUCUGCAUUUUAUGAUAAACUCUUAAAAGGCAAGCGCACACUGAGAAAAAUUGCUGCCAGCGAAAAGUACAAGGUGGAAACAGUUACAGAUACGGAUGCACCCUCUACUUCGCAUUGAUCUGCACCUAGGGACAAAGAGGAUAUACGGCCAGUGAUGCCCACUCUUCCAAAUCCCUAUUAUGAGGCGUUGUCGGCUGGCUCCACUCUACCCCGGCGCGUUUGCCCUCUUCGGGUCUUUUCAGCUUUAUCUGGCGCCAGCUUCUCCAUCACACCUCCACCUAUCAACAGCUCCAGCUUUCCCCCAGCCUUGGAGGCUCCAGCGCUCCCCAGGUUGGCUCAGGGCAGCAUGGCCACCAGUCACUCCUUUUGGGAGCCACCAUGUUGGAAGCCAACAAUGUAAUCAAAACAGCCAUGUUAAAAUUGACUAAAGUUACAAAUAUGUUUCGAUUUGAUCAGUGCAUACAUUAGAAGGGAUCUAAUGUCUGAAUUGUUUUUUGGGGAAAUUGUAUGAUAAGGCAGAUGAUUAGUUUAGAUGUGGAUCUCCACAGCAAAAACCAGUAACACUUUACAAUAUGUUUAUGUACGUUAACAUUACUUAAUGCAUCAGGUGUCAUGAACUGGCGGGCCCUAUUUUAAGAGUGCAAGCAUUAUGUGCAAGACAAUGGGCAUAGCCAUGAAUUUUUGGUAUUUUCGUACAAGCAUGCGCUAAGUCUAGGUGCAAGUGGGUUUGGUGAAAUCGGCCCCGCAAUGCGCAAAAGGCGUUACCAAGUGCCAUUUAAUUCUGAAUUCUUCUCUGGUUAUUCAAUGUCUGUGUUCUAUUAUUUAGUCCAUUCCCUCAAGCACCAACAAUUUAAACAAAGACAGCACAUUAAUAAGAAGUUGGUAGUGUAAAUGGACUGUAUGCAAUGAAUUAGAAGAAUUACAAAUUCCGUAUUCCGCAUUCUUCUGUGCAUUAACUGCGUCCUUGAUGAAUGUCAGGCAUAUUUCUAUGACAGCGACACGCUCCUUUUAUAAGCAUGGAAAAUGUAAUUCUUGUCAGAAUUUGAAUGUACUGUAUGUGCCAUUAAAUUAAGUAAUUAUUAUUCAUCCUUUUCAUCUACUGACACAAAAAUCAUGGCUAGUAAUAAACAGUGAUUGCGCGCACUUCAAUUUAAAGCUUCAGCUUUGCAAUGAAUGACAGCAUACAAUUAGUGACAAUAUGGCUUUUGAAUGCAAAGAGUAUUUUAAGCAUUGCAAUGAAAAAAGAUUAAAAAUAGUGUAUAUGCCUUUUGCAAUUUUAAGCAUAGCAAUAAACAAGAGCAUACAAUUAGUGAAAAGUGUGUUUUGUACGCAAAGUUAAUAUUUUUAAGCUUAGUAAAUUUUUUAACAUUAAAAGCUGUAUGAACCCAAACUAACAAAGACCAAUAUUAUAAGUAUACAUUAACCAAGAUUAAUAAAUAAUGUAAAAAAAUAUUUAGCAUAUUAUUUGUU